rnacentral:rRNA from 1 species
UGGCGAAGUCUGACGGAGCACGCCGCGUGACGAUGAAGGUUUUCGGAUCGUAAAGUUCUGUUGUAACGGAAGAACAAGUACCGUUCGAAUAGGGCGGUACCUUGACGGUACCUAACGAGAAAGCCCCGGCUAACUACGUGCCAGCAGCCGCGGUAAUACGUAGGGGGCAAGCGUUGUCCGGAAUUAUUGGGCGUAAAGCGCGCGCAGGUGGUUCCUUAAGUCUGAUGUGAAAGCCCACGGCUCAACCGUGGAGGGUCAUUGGAAACUGGGGAACUUGAGUGCAGGAGAGGAAAGUGGAAUUCCACGUGUAGCGGUGAAAUGCGUAGAGAUGUGGAGGAACACCAGUGGCGAAGGCGACUUUCUGGCCUGUAACUGACACUGAGGCGCGAAAGCGUGGGGAGCAAACAGGAUUAGAUACCCUGGUAGUCCACGCCGUAAACGAUGAGUGCUAGGUGUUAGGGGGUUUCCGCCCCUUAGUGCUGAAGUUAACGCAUUAAGCACUCCGCCUGGGGAGUACGGCCGCAAGGCUGAAACUCAAAGGAAUUUGACGGGG